rnacentral:rRNA from 1 species
UUCGCAAUGCCCGAAAGGGUGACGAAGCGACGCCGCGUGUGGGAAGAAGGCCUUCGGGUUGUAAACCACUGUCGGGAGUUAAGAAGUGUAGGGGGGUUAAUAGUCUCCUUACUUGACGUUAGCUCCGGAGGAAGCCACGGCUAACUCUGUGCCAGCAGCCGCGGUAAUACAGAGGUGGCAAGCGUUGUUCGGAAUUAUUGGGCGUAAAGAGCACGUAGGCGGCCCUGCAAGUCAGCUGUGAAAUCCUUCUGCUCAACGGAAGAACGGCAGUUGAUACUAUAGGGCUCGAGUGCGGGAGGGGAGAGUGGAACUUCUGGUGGAGCGGUGAAAUGCGUAGAUAUCAGAAGGAACAUCGGCGGCGAAGGCGACUCUCUGGCCCGUAACCGACGCUGAGGUGCGAAAGCUAGGGGAGCAAACGGGAUUAGAUACCCCGGUAGUCCUAGCCGUAAACGAUGGGCACUAAGUAGAGGGGUU